UGAACGCUGGCGGCAGGCCUAACACAUGCAAGUCGAGCGAGAAAGGCCUUCGGGCUGAGUACAGCGGCGGACGGGUGAGUAACGCGUAGGAAUCUACCUGGUAGUGGGGGACAACAUGGUGAAAACCAUGCUAAUACCGCAUACGCCCUACGGGGGAAAGCGGGGGACCUUCGGGCCUCGUGCUAUCGGAUGAGCCUGCGUUGGAUUAGCUUGUUGGUGAGGUAAAAGCUCACCAAGGCGACGAUCCAUAGCUGGUCUGAGAGGAUGAUCAGCCACACUGGAACUGAGACACGGUCCAGACUCCUACGGGAGGCAGCAGUGGGGAAUAUUGCGCAAUGGGCGAAAGCCUGACGCAGCCAUGCCGCGUGUGUGAAGAAGGCCUUAGGGUUGUAAAGCACUUUCAAUUGGGAAGAAAGGUUGUACGUUAAUAGCGUGCAACUGUGACAUUACCUUUAGAAGAAGCACCGGCUAACUCC
rnacentral:rRNA from 1 species